UACGUAGGGCGCAAGCGUUAUCCGGAAUUAUUGGGCGUAAAGAGCUCGUAGGCGGUUUGUUGCGUCGGCUGUGAAAUCCCGAGGCUCAACCUCGGGUCUGCAGUCGAUACGAGCAAACUAGAGUGUUGCAGGGGAGACUGGAAUUCCUGGUGUAGCGGCGAAAUGCGCAGAUAUCAGGAGGAACACCGGUGGCGAAGGCGGGUCUCUGGGCAACAACUGACGCUGAGGAGCGAAAGCGUGGGGAGCGAACAGG
rnacentral:rRNA from 1 species